CGACUGUGAAUCCAUCUGGUCCUGGACUUUUUUUGGUUGAAACAGACUGCAGAUUGAAUUCCUACAUAGGCUAUUCCAGAAUUCUUACGAGACUUGCAUUAGGACAUCAGCAACAGGUAUCAUCUAGUGAACUGUUCAGAUGCAACUGAAUUGAAAAGGAGCUGAACAAAAGAUCCUGAGAGAGACUUCAACAAAAAGUAAAAUGGAUUUUAUCAUACUUGAAAAAUCAACAAUUGCAGUCUGGAUUCAUACAUCACUGUCUGAUGCACCCAACUUGAGUCAAAAAGAUGUUUCAAAUCCCACUAGGCUGGAGGCAAAAAUACUCAAGAGUUUAAGAGCGUCUCUUGACAGUGUACAGAAUAAGAUAGCUUCUCAGCUUUCAGCUUUACUUCACGGUUUUAACUAUCAAAAGAAGCAAGCCAUCUGAAGAUUUGCCUGAGACUGAAGGAUCCACUUCUGCGACGACUCCCUCAGGACUUAUAAUGCAGAUGGAACCAGAUUGAGAAAAACCAGCCAACCAACCAACCAACAUGAUGGCUGAACCAGACAAGAGAAGUCCCGAAGUAAAAUACCCACCAAUUACCAGAAUCUGUGCCUGCCAUACAUCGAAGAAAAUUCAACAGCAAUACAAAUUAACCUUUGGAAAAUCUUUCCUGGGUUUUAUGUUUGUGUGAAAUGCCCCUUUACUAAACUGGAAGAUGUGUAAGAUGGAAGAAGAGGUUCUGCUGGAUAUGGAGAAAUUGGAACCCUUGUACAUGUGGAAAUGUAAAAUGGUGCAUUAGGAAAACAGUUUCAACGGUCCUCAAAGUGGUAAACAUAGAGUUACCAUAUGACUGAGAAAUUUUACUCCCAGGUAUAUACCCAAGAUAAAUAAAAACAUGUUCAUAUAAAACUCAUAUAUAUAUGUCCAUGGCAGCUUUAUUUAUAGUUGCCAAAAUGUCUCUUGUGACUGGCUUCUUUCACUCAACAUGAUGUGUUCAAGGUCCAUUAGUAUUGGAACUUAACUCGUCUUUAUUGUUAAACGAUAUUCCACUGUAUGGACAUAUCCUCAUUUUAUUUACCCAUUCAUCAGUUGAUGGACAUUUGGGGUUUUUCCAUGUUUUGGCAGUGUGUGCAUUGUGUGUGUUGUGUGAGGGAAAGGGAUAGAAUGAAAGUGAUAUUAAGAUUAAGUGACAUAAUGUAUGUAAUAUUUCUAGCAGAGUUCCUGGGACAUGGCAGAUAUGUUAUUAUUUUAUUACUAUUGUUAUAAUUUCCUUUAUCUAGGAGAGCACAGCUUCAUUGCCAGAUGUAACUUUUAUUUAGACUAAGGAAUCAGUUAAGAUAACCAUAAGAUACUCUUGGUCUUGAACUCUGCCAUGCCUAAACAAAAAUUAUCUUCUUUGCCUUGGAAAAUUAUUACUUUAGUGAAAUAAAUUGUUUUCUUUCUAAAUUUGCAAAGUAUUAUUUUUUACACUAUAAU
rnacentral:lncRNA from 1 species